UUUCCUAUAUCUCCCUUCCUGGUCAGCAAUAUAGCCCAUUCUCUGGAGCUUCCCGUGGGGAUUUUUCUUCCCAGUGAAUUCUUCCUAUUAGUUAUCUAAGUGGUUUAACUGUUGAAAUGUUUUCCGUCAUCUUUAGAUCCUUUUGAAACCACUUUCUCUACCUGCUUCAGUUCCAUUUGAUGACCGCCAUCAUCUUUGAGAUUCCCAUCCAGAACCAUGCAUACCUCUUAGGUUCUCACAGCCAGGAACUAUUUCCUAAGUUGUCUUUCUGGUGGAAAGCUCAGCUCCUACUAAGCAGUCCUUGCUUCAAAAUGGCUUUGAUGAAUGACCCAAAGGAGCCAGGCCAGUCCCUGAGUCAUCACAGAGCACCCUAGGUGAGAAACCCUGAAGUGUUCUCUGCUGUUGCUCCACCCCUACCCUAUAUGAACAGAUUAAAUAGUUUCAUUUGGCACAGUU
rnacentral:lncRNA from 1 species